UACGUAGGGUGCAAGCGUUUGUCCGGAAUUAUUGGGCGUAAAGAGCUCGUAGGCGGUUUGUCGCGUCUGCUGUGAAAUCUCCGGGCUUAACUCGGAACGGUCAAGUGAUACUGUCGUGCUAGAGUACAGAAGGGGCAACUGGAAUUCUCGGUGUAGCGGUGAAAUGCGCAGAUAUCAGGAGGAACACCGGUGGCGAAGGCGGGUCUCUGGGGCCGAUACUGACGCUGAGGAGCGAAAGCAUGGGUAGCGAACAGG
rnacentral:rRNA from 1 species